GGAAAGAAAGGAGAAAGAAGGAAAGGAAUAAAGGAAGGAAGAAACGAAGGAAGGAAGAAAACUGAAUCCCAUAGCAAGAUAUUCAGCACAAAGCAGUUUGACUCUAGGUAUGAUCAUCAAGGAAUACUACUGAGCCAAUGAAUUGAUGAUGCCAACAAUCUUAUGGGGUUUUACAUCCAUGAACUGCAGGUGGAGUUCUCAUGGAAAAAAGGUCGGGGGGAAUGACUUUUGGCAUUGACUUAGUGGGGGAAGAUAAUUUGUACAAGUGACCUGAGCAGGAGAAGAACUGCUGAGACCACACCCAGACCACAGGAUCACAUCAGAUGUUUCCAGAGGAACAGAAUGAGACACAUCUAUGAACUGCACAAUUCUAUUGUUGUUUACUUUUCCCCUUUGUGCCUCUUAUCUGUAAGCCCACUUCUAUUGGUGUUACAACAAACCUUGCAACUUUGUAAGACAGUUUGGGUGCUUGAAUUCUUUCCAGGUGGACUCUCCUGCACCCUGACAUUUCCAAGUUCCCAGCAACUCCAACCCCAUCAGCUCUAGAGUAGGUGAGGCUCGUGACUCUGCACAGCCCUCCUCACUGCAAUCCAAUUCACUUGCAUGUCAUGGCAUCAUCUUACUGAUGUCAUGGUCCUCUUGGAGAAUGAAGGACAAACAACAAUUCCUUGUAUUCCCUUAGCACAGUGUCUAGCUGUCGGACUGUGCCUCAGGGUUCUCACUCAAUUCAUCAGGUGCCAAAUUCUGUCAUUUUAAAUUCCACAACUGAUCUCAUCUCUCUCCCCUGGUGUCCCCUCACACGCCAUCACUCCUCCCCUAGACUGCGCCAAGCCCCUGCCCCUGCCCUGCAGUUCCCCCUGGGAUGGUCUUUCUAGCUUGCGUUUGAAGGUUCCUACCCCUUCCUCUCUCUUUCCACACCCUUCCAAUCUCUUUCUGGCUCUGAGAGAACUCGCUUUCUUUUUUCAAGUCCAAGCACACCUGGUUGCAUCAAUUAAAUUACGGGAAAAAGUCAAGUCGUUCCAUAAGGAACGUAUCUGGAUAAAAGGGAGAAGGGGAAAAAGAGGGAAGCACAUAGAGAUGGAGAGA